AGGACUUCUAGUUCUGCUUCUUUCAUCUGAUGCUGAUUCAACAGGUGCAUUCGGUUUGCGAGGAUUCACUCAGCUGGACACCAACAGUAUGAGCCUUUUUCUCAUUGGCUUUGUCCAGAAAAGAACCUUUUCGUGUCCCCUGAGGAACAGCUUAUUGGGAGCAACUUUGAGGAAACAAGAAAUCAGAAGGCGCCGUUAAAACCCACAUACUCCCCUCAUCAGCUCUAACCGCAUCACGCAUGUGGGACCCCGCCUCCCCAACCAGGGAUCAAACUGGCACCCCCUGCAUUGGAAGAUUAAGUCUUAACCACUGGAUGGACAGGCAAGUCCCUUCGUAGUGAGAUGUUAACCCCUCAGAACGUGUCCCUGACAGAGCUGUCACAUUUACCAUAAAAAGCCUGUGGCCUUGGCCUCUGCCAGGCUCUCCUGUCAAUCAUGGGCUGCCUUUCAGAAGUGAGGACUUGAUGAGGUGGCCACUGAGUUGUUCAUCAGAACUUCCUGACAAAGAAGGAAGGAAGAUCACGAGCUCAGAUGCCCCCAGGCCUCAGCGAGACCCAGAGCCAGGACCAACCUGGAAACUUGGUUAUCAGCAUCAGGCCCAGAGGGGAGGAGCUGUGGGAAGGAAGGGUGGGGAAAGUCAACAGCUGGGCCUCCCGGAGGGCCUCACUUGCGGAUAGAAUCAUCUGCACCCUUUUUCUAGAUUCCACAAGCGCCAAAGGAUUGAUGCUGUCCAACUGUGGUGUUGGAGAAGACUCUUGAGAG